rnacentral:rRNA from 1 species
GACGAACGCUGGCGGCGUGCUUAACACAUGCAAGUCGAACGGAAAGGCCCUGCUUUUGUGGGGUGCUCGAGUGGCGAACGGGUGAGUAACACGUGAGUAACCUGCCCUUGACUUUGGGAUAACAUCAGGAAACUGGGGCUAAUACCGGAUAGGAGCUCCUGCUGCAUGGUGGGGGUUGGAAAGUUUCGGCGGUUGGGGAUGGACUCGCGGCUUAUCAGCUUGUUGGUGGGGUAGUGGCUUACCAAGGCUUUGACGGGUAGCCGGCCUGAGAGGGUGACCGGCCACAUUGGGACUGAGAUACGGCCCAGACUCCUACGGGAGGCAGAAGUGGGGAAUAUUGCACAAUGGGCGGAAGCCUGAUGCAGCAACGCCGCGUGCGGGAUGACGGCCUUCGGGUUGUAAACCGCUUUCGCCUGUGACGAAGCGUGAGUGACGGUAAUGGGUAAAGAAGCACCGGCUAACUACGUG